CUACGUGCCAGCAGCCGCGGUAAUACGUAGGUGGCAAGCGUUGUCCGGAAUUAUUGGGCGUAAAGCGCGCGCAGGCGGAUUGGUCAGUCUGUCUUAAAAGUUCGGGGCUUAACCCCGUGAUGGGAUGGAAACUGCCAAUCUAGAGUAUCGGAGAGGAAAGUGGAAUUCCUAGUGUAGCGGUGAAAUGCGUAGAUAUUAGGAAGAACACCAGUGGCGAAGGCGACUUUCUGGACGAAAACUGACGCUGAGGCGCGAAAGCCAGGGGAGCGAACGGGAUUAGAUACCCCGGUAGUCCUGGCCGUAAACGAUGGGUACUAGGUGUAGGAGGUAUCGACCCCUUCUGUGCCGGAGUUAACGCAAUAAGUACCCCGCCUGGGGAGUACGACCGCAAGGUUGAAACUCAAAGGAAUUGACGGGGGCCCGCACAAGCGGCGGAGCAUGCGGAUUAAUUCGAUGCAACGCGAAGA
rnacentral:rRNA from 1 species